AACAGGAUUAGAUACCCUGGUAGUCCACGCCGUAAACGAUGUCGACUUGGAGGUUGUGCCCUUGAGGCGUGGCUUCCGGAGCUAACGCGUUAAGCCGACCGCCUGGGGAGUACGGCCGCAAGGUUAAAACUCAAAUGAAUUGACGGGGGCCCGCACAAGCGGUGGAGCAUGUGGUUUAAUUCGAUGCAACGCGAAGAACCUUACCUACUCUUGACAUCCAGAGAAUUUGCUAGAGAUAGCUUAGUGCCUUCGGGAACUCUGAGACAGGUGCUGCAUGGCUGUCGUCAGCUCGUGUUGUGAAAUGUUGGGUUAAGUCCCGCAACGAGCGCAACCCUUAUCCUUUGUUGCCAGCACGUAAUGGUGGGAACUCAAAGGAGACUGCCGGUGAUAAACCGGAGGAAGGUGGGGAUGACGUCAAGUCAUCAUGGCCCUUACGAGUAGGGCUACACACGUGCUACAAUGGCAUAUACAAAGAGAAGCGAACUCGCGAGAGCAAGCGGACCUCAUAAAGUAUGUCGUAGUCCGGAUUGGAGCCUGCAACUCGACUCCAUGAAGUCGGAAUCGCUAGUAAUCGUAGAUCAGAAUGCUACGGUGAAUACGUUCCCGGGCCUUGUACACACCGCCCGUCACACCAUGGGAGUGGGUUGCAAAAGAAGUAGGUAGCUUAACCUUCGGGAGGGCGCUUACCACUUUGUGAUUCAUGACUGGGGUGAAGUCGUAACAAGGUAACC
rnacentral:rRNA from 1 species